CGUUCAUUUUUUAACAUCGGGCGUGCACACACAUGCCUUCAGAGAAGCUAGGAGAAGGAAGGAGGAAAGGAGAAGGAGUUGAAAGGAGAAGGGGAGUUUGGAUGAAGACGAGGUCGAUUGGCUUGGAGAAGGGUGGGGUCCAGAGCGCUACUUGCCCCGCCACGAGGUUCUGUCCACCCGCCCUGCUGGAGUUCCCAAGAGGUGAUGCUAUACGGGAUGCGCUCGUGCGUAUUGUGACAUUUCUAGAAAAGUCAUCAGUCUUUGCUCUGGUGUCAAAAGUGAAGGUCGAGAGAGAAGCUUCCGCUUCGGUCUCAGGAACCAGCGUGGCGUGAAGGCGCUACUGCUUCGAUUUCCUGUGUCUCCCCAGGGUCGACGGUUGUAUCGCAUUUAAGGGGUUUGUGCACGUGAGUGCAGGUGCCAUUUGAAGCCAGAAGAGGGCGCUGGAUCCUCAGACCUGGAGGAAGUUGUGAGCUACCUGAUGUGGGUGCAGUGCGCACUCUUAGUUUCAGAACCAUUUCUCCAGCCUGCGUGUGAUUUUUAAAGUCAUACACUCUGUUGUUUCGACGCAUUGCGCCUAUAGAUUUGCAUGUGUUGAGCCACCACUGCACCCUCCAACCUCCAACUUGAUAGCCGCGGAUGAUCUUUUUGAUAUGCUGUUGUAUUCAACUCCUUGGUGUUUUGUUAAUAAUGUUUGCAUCUAUAUUCAUCA
rnacentral:lncRNA from 1 species